rnacentral:RNase_P_RNA from 1 species
AAAGCAAAUCAACUUUGUUGCUUCCCGCAAGGGAAGAGGAAAGUCCGGACACCGCGGGAUUAUCGCAGCGGGUAACGCCCGUCCGCCGUGAGGCGAGGACAAGUGCAACAGAAAGCAAGUACAAUUCGGUUGUAGUGAAAUCAGGUAAACUCUGCGAGGUGCAAUGCCAUGUAUAUCGGCUGGUAAGGGGAAUCCGCCCGAUGCCGAGGGGUAGGCAGUUAGAGGCAAGGAGCAAUUUUUGCCCAAGACAAAUAACAAGGCUUUUCAGCAAUGAAAAUGACAGAAUCCGGCUUAUUGAUUUGCUUUUUUU